GACGAACGCUGGCGGCGUGCUUAACACAUGCAAGUCGAACGAAGUGGCGCACGGGUGAGUAACGCGUAAUCAACCUGCCCUUCAGAGGGGGACAACAGUUGGAAACGACUGCUAAUACCGCAUACUGAAGGUGGGGAUUGCGUGUGAUUAGCUAGUUGGAGGGGUAAUGGCCCACCAAGGCGAUGAUCGGUUGCCGGUCUGGGAGGAGGAACGGGCACAAUGGGACUGAGACACGGCCCAGACUCCUACGGGAGGCAGCAGGGGGGAAUCUGCCGCAAUGGAGGAAAGUCUGACGGAGCAACGCCGCGUGAGUGAGGACGGCCUUCGGGGUGUAAAGCUCUGUUAAUCGGGACGCGGUACCGGAAGAGAAAGCCACGGCUAACUACGUGCCAGCCGCCGCGGUAAUUC
rnacentral:rRNA from 1 species